ensembl:misc_RNA 7SK 7SK RNA
GGAUGUGAGGGUGAUCUGGCUGUGACAUAUGUCACACCAUUGAUGGCCAGGGUUGAUUCUGCUGAUCUGAUUGACUAGGUGGGUGUCCCCUUUCUCCCUCACCACUCCAUGUGCGUCCCUCCCAAAGCUAUGUGCUUGGUAGAAGAGGAUGAAGUUCCUCAAAUAGAGACAGACAAUCUUCAGUCCAGGGAAUAUGAAGGGCUGUGCUCCUUUGCUAAACUCUCCAAACAAACUUUCAAGAAUCACACCAGGAAGAAUGAAGAGACCUGGGUUUGCUGUGUGAAUUGGAGAAGCCACCUCACAUCUUCAUGUAAUAAACAAGACACUGAAACCAGCUCAUUUGUGCAGCUUGCUUUAUUCUUAU